UCUGGAGACAGGUGCUGCAUGGCUGUCGUCAGCUCGCGUCGUGAGAUGUUGGGUUAAGUCCCGCAACGAGCGCAACCCUUGCCUUUAGUUGCCAGCAGUUCGGCUGGGCACUCUAAAGGGACUGCCGGUGUUAAACCGGAGGAAGGUGGGGAUGACGUCAAGUCCUCAUGGCCUUUAUGACCAGGGCUACACACGUACUACAAUGGCCGAUACAAAGGGCAGCGACACUGCGAGGUGAAGCCAAUCCCGUAAAAUCGGUCUCAGUCCGGAUUGGAGUCUGCAACUCGACUCCAUGAAGUUGGAAUCGCUAGUAAUCGUGGAUCAGCAUGCCACGGUGAAUACGUUCCCGGGCCUU
rnacentral:rRNA from 1 species